GCGGAAGUAGCUCAUUUGGUAGAGCACGACCUUGCCAAGGUCGGGGUAGCCGGUUCAAACCCGGUCUUCCGCU
rnacentral:tRNA from 1 species